rnacentral:lncRNA from 1 species
GGUGGUUGAGAGACUAAUACAGAUUUGACAAGAGGUCAAGUUCAACGAAUGAAGAUUCGACAAGUCAUUAGAGUUAUGAUGCCAAUUUUAUUUGGAAGGUAAGAGUACUCAUAUAAGCAUCCUUAUGAUUCCUAUGAACAUGCAACCGAGAUGGGUAGCUACAAUCAAGGGUGGUUGGAUAAUUAUCUUACAUAUGAUUUGUAUUCUCCAUAUUACUUUUAGAGAAUGACGAGUAUACUAAAGAUCCAUCCUUUGCUACACAGGUUGGAUUAUUGGAGGAUAACAUGUCUUAAUGCCAAGCUACUAUGUCCAAUACGUUGGAGCAAUUAUUGAAAGUAGUCCAACCUGAGCUAAAAUGAGCACUCCAGUGGAAGAGAUCGAGCAUGAGGUUCCCAAACUUGAAUAGGAGACCUACCUUACCAUAGUUGAAUAUGACAUGUUUAAUAUGGAUGUUCAACAAGAGUUCAGAGUUGAAGAUCGUGACGAGAUCAUGAGAAAUGAAGAUGAUAUCUUUACUCCGAUUGACAGAAGAGUAGGAGUAGAGUUAGAUGCAAAGGAAGGGUUAAACCUGGAAUUAAAUGAAAGUGUGAAGGAGCCAACACACUUUCCGACUACCGUUAUGGAGAAAUAAAUCGACAUACGUCACGAUCAUAUAUAUUUUUAGUUCACCCAAUACUAACUUUUAAUAAACAAAAUGAUCACAAGAGUAUGGAAUUGCAUGAAGAAUUUCGACGCUGUGGAUUGAAGCUACC